rnacentral:rRNA from 1 species
UACGGAGGGUGCGAGCGUUAUCCGGAAUUACUGGGCGUAAAGCGUGCGCAGGCGGUUAUGUAAGACAGGUGUGAAAUCCCCGGGCUUAACCUGGGAACUGCAUUUGUGACUGCAUAGCUAGAGUACGGUAGAGGGGGAUGGAAUUCCGCGUGUAGCAGUGAAAUGCGUAGAUAUGCGGAGGAACACCGAUGGCGAAGGCAAUCCCCUGGACCUGUACUGACGCUCAUGCACGAAAGCGUGGGGAGCAAAC